rnacentral:rRNA from 1 species
GGGUGCGAUCAUACCAGCAUUAAUGCACAAGAUCACGUUAAAACUCCGUAGUUAAGUGCAUUUGGGAUAGGGUAGUACUAGGAUGGGUGACCUCCCUGGAAGUCCUAGUAUUGGACCCU